CACCAUGAAAGAACAACAUCGGCGACACUAGCGACAUCUAGUAAUGAGUUUUGAAUCUUUAGUUGGUUGCACAGUCAAGUCACAGACAGACAUGACAGUUCACGUCAAAAAAGUUUAACAACGGAGAUCGGAUAGCAAGUUAACUGUUUUUAAAUAAUUUCAGCUGAAGUUUUCAUGUACCUUGUCAACUAGGUGCUUGUGACUGAAAUGAAAUGAUCUAAUCCAAAAAUGCAAGCUCACAACCUACGUCUUCUGAAGAAAAAUAAUUUCUGUUGCAGUUGUAAAUCUUCAAGAUGUUGAUGCCUUCGCCAGAUCCUGAUGAGAGAGAGAGAAUUCAUCAUUUUGUGUGCAACAGUUUUAAUUAUUUUUAUUUCUAAUUUAAAUUUUGCUUUAGAUUUUGCCGAAUGAGAACCAUUUUGUUGCCCAUCCACUGGAUCCAUCCAAGGAUAAGGAAAAGGCCAACACCACCAACACUGUCAACAAGGUUUAGCGUUUAUGUUCGCGUAGUUGCUGUCCGAUGUGGCACGUUGUUGCAGCCUAUGCUGGUGUCUGGUGAAAGAUCUUUCUGCAUCAAGUUCAACUGGUUGUUCCUUGGCGGUGUUGUUGUGUUACCAAAAUUGCGUCAUCAAUCAUCAUAUUGUUCAAUUAUUGUCAUUGUGUCUGCAGUUAUCGUUCAGGAGUUAAGAAGGAACAAAAACAAAUAUGGGAUGUUUAUGUCAAACAAAUAAUAAACAUGUUU
rnacentral:misc_RNA from 1 species